rnacentral:rRNA from 1 species
AUUGAACGCUGGCGGCAGGCUUAACACAUGCAAGUCGAACGAGUGGCGGACGGGUGAGUAAUGCUUGGGAACCUAGCCUAUGGAGGGGGAUAACUACGGGAAACUGUAGCUAAUACCGCGUACCAUAGGAUGAGCCCAAGUGGGAUUAGGUAGUUGGUGGGGUAAAGGCUCACCAAGCCGACGAUCCCUAGCUGGUCUGAGAGGAUGACCAGCCACACUGGGACUGAGACACGGCCCAGACUCCUACGGGAGGCAGCAGUGGGGAAUAUUGCGCAAUGGGGGCAACCUGACGCAGCCAUGCCGCGUGUAUGAAGAAGGCCUUCGGGUUGUAAAGUACUUUCGGUAGAGAAGCGGUAUCUGCAGAAGAAGCACCGGCUAACUCCGUGCCAGCAGCCGCGGUAAUAC